rnacentral:rRNA from 1 species
GACGAGGGAUCCUAGCGUUGUUCGGAAUUAUUGGGCGUAAAGCGGGUGUAGGCGGCUUUAUAAGUCAGGUGUGAAAGCCCAGGGCUCAACCCUGGAAGUGCACUUGAUACUGUAAAGCUUGAAUGUGGUAGAGGUUACUGGAAUUGUUGGUGUAGUGGUGAAAUACGUAGAUAUCAACAGGAAUACCGGAGGCGAAGGCGGGUAACUGGGCCAACAUUGACGCUGAGACCCGAAAGCGUGGGGAUCAAACAGA